AACUUCGUUGAAACGAGGAUGACGACUAAGCGUUAUGACCCUCAUGUGCUUGGGCUACACAUGCGCUACAAUGGGUAUCCACAAAGAGAAGCUAAUGAUGUUUUGUAAGUCCAAGCUAACCUCUAAAACUAUCCUUCAGUUCGGAUUGUGUUCUGUAACUCGAACACAUGAAGCCGGAAUUGCUAGUAAUCGCAAAUAAGCGAGUUGCGGUGAAUUUUCU
rnacentral:rRNA from 11 species